GUUUUGUGAAGAAAAUAAUAAUUUUACGGUUUACAUUUGCAUUAGCAGUUGGACGCCGGGUGGCGCACAAUGUCUAGGCGUGUUCGUGUAUUGCAAGAAUGCGGCAAGUCUGAUGCAAAGAACAACGAGAAGCUGCUGCAUAAAGGAACGAAACAAUUGAAGCUGCCAGGUUAUAUGGGAACGAAACGAACACACCUUUAGUGGUUGCGGCAGUUUCAGGAGGCAAACGUCGUUCGCUGCAUUUAAGUGUUCUGUGGCUGCACCUGAGUGACAAAAGCGGCGCACAACAUGGCAGCGCCCAAAGGGGACUGUAGCGAGAGCAGUAGUGGAAACAGUGGUGUCGCAGCGACGGAUUCAUCGCCCAGCGAAAGUGAAACGCUGGAAGGUCGUGCUGCGGCCAUCCAGGAAAAGCUGGACAACACUUACCGGCAGAUUGUGUUCCUCGACCAGCAAAUCCGCGACCUGAAGCGUCUUUACAAGCGUGCCGAGAAGAAUAACAAGUACGCCUUUCGGUACAACAUUCGCAUGAAGAUGUCCAUUGCAAGUGGCAUAAAGAUGAUGUACUACCACUAUGCCAACACGAAAGUGGCUGAACUGGAACGCAUCACAACGCAGAUGGAGGAGGCGCGCUCAACGGCCAGUGACACCUCGGACGGCGAUAGGGUGUAGUCCUUUAGUAGGUGGCAUGGUUUAAACUUUUCAUUGUGAAUGUUCUGUGCAAGUGCUGCAGUGCUGCGCAGUGCUCGGUUGCCGGCUUCCCGAGCGGCAUUUGUUCACGAGUGUUUUGUGCAGCGCCGACUCGUUUUUAUUUUUUACGUCCCUGCGAGACAGUCAUAGUUUACUUCUGCGGCACGAAACGCUACAUGCUUGAUGAACUCAGAGGUAACAUUGUGAUUUGGAAAUCAAUUGCGCAUGUAGCGAUUUAAUAGGGGUUGAGGCUGCGUCCGUUCAUGAUUUCUUUUCUAAGGUCAUGGCAUGUUGCGCACAGACGAGUCAGACUUUCAUGAACAGCGAUGUUUGUGCUGCGCAACUUGCAAGAGAGAAACCUCUGAAGAGGACACGUCUUCAAAACAAAGUGGUAAAAGCAACCCGGACACCGCGCCAUCUAUCUGGGCAUAGCGAAUAAAGAAGUGAGAUGUAAGAAGUGAAAUAAAAGUGACAAGCCCAUUUGACGAUGUCACUCGGGCUAGGGCUUAUGGUUUUAUGAUUGUAUGGUUGUGUUGUCUGUUCUACCCCAGCUUAUUUGUUAACAUUAGCAUUAUUUGUUUCUUAGUUAAGCUCCGCCACCCCAUUUUAUUUUUCCAUGCAUUCCUCUGCGAAAUGCACUGUUAGCUGGCCAACCUUUUCUUUACUCUACGAUUUCAGUGUUCUUUUGGAUCACACUUCUUUUUUUGUUGUUGCAUGUUUUACCCCAGAUUUUUUCAGCUUAAUGCACCAGCAUUAUUUGCUCCUCAGUUCAUCUACGCCACCAUGGUUUUUUGCCGUGCAUUCCUCUGCGAGUGUUUCCUCUGAGCGUUGGCUGGCCGACCUUUCUUUUGUUUCAACUUGGAUAUAUUGAAUGUCAUUUUAGAUCACAAUCUUUUGUGUAUCCUUGUAAAGUCAUACGCCAUUAUAAAGAAGUGUGUGGGGCCUCCGAAAUUAUUCGUUAUACAGGUCACUUUGUUGUAAAGGUCGCACACAACACAGCUCACAAGAGGACCAGGACAGAAUCAUACCUUCAUUAUAAAGGUAAUUUCGUUGUAGCAGCGUUUGUUCUAGUGGUGCACGACUGUAUAUGCACUUCAGUAUGAGCGUUAUGCUAACACCUUUUAGAACUUUGAGUUAUAUUGUUGCAGGAACCAUUAAGUUUAGUGACAAAAAGAUGCGAUGUUUGGUGUGUGUUGUGUGCCAGAAAACAUGACUGCCUAUCUUUAAGCCAUGUAUGUAUGGCACUGUUCUUGUCUCAUACAACUGCAGUAUGAUUGCAAUGCAUACCGUCUAGGUAUCUUUAGAAACUGUGAUACAUAUUGUGGUCAUUCUGGUCAGUCAUUGUGCAUGAAAAUCUCAACUAGCCACAGUCUCAUUGCAGUGCUACUAACAAAUUCAGGUGUAUAAAUGCUGCAAAGAUGGUGGUGAAUGAGGAUGUGAUGUGGCCCAACAUUGUCGAUGUUCCACCUCUCGAAGAGGAGGAGGAGGAGGAAAAACGUUUAUUGAGCUCUAGAAAAUUUUAUGAAUUUCGCGGAGUCAGAUGGUGUCGUCCAUCUUCUUGGCAAUGGCCGUCUGCCCCUAGUCCAGGGCUCCGCUGAAUGCCGCUGCCAGCUAGGCCCGUCGGAUCAGCCCUAGUUCGACGUCCUGAUGGUCGCUGGAGAGCAUUCCUUCCCAUUGCUCCGCGCUCGGGUUUCACAAGGCUUUCAAAGCACCCUGACAGUGCAGCAUGGGCUUAAAACGAAAUACUUAUGGGCCCCAUUCCCUCCAGACUUCUUCAAAUGGACACUAAAGGCAAACAUUAGGUCAUACGUUGUGCUGGUAGAUUACUCUUUUUGGAUUCCAUUGGGGACACAUUCGCUUAUUUGUAGGGAAAAUGUUAUUUAAGGCUGAAUGUAUCCAUCGCUUUCAAGCACCCGCAAACCUAAAGCCAUAAUUCCCUUUUCAUUUUUUUUUUACUUUUUUGUCAUUGGUUCACAUGUUGCUGUUGUUGCCAGGUUCAGUUAUGCAUCACAGAGUAUGACAAGAAAAGAUUAGAGUUGAAAGAAGUGUUAUGAAAGGCAACACCACCUGCCAUGGUUGCUUAGUGGCUAUGGUGUAGGGCUGCUAAGCACCAGGUCGCGGGAUCAAAUCCCGGCCAUGGUGUCCGUAUCUCAAUGGGGCUGAAUUGCAAAAACACCAGUGUACUUAGAUUUAGGUGCAUGUUGAAAAACCCCAGGUGGUCCAAAUUAUUCCGAGUCCCUCACUAUGGCUUGCCUCAUAAUCAGAUAGUAGUUUUGGCAUGUAAAACCCCAUAAUUUAAUUUAUUUUUUUUUAGGACAGCACUUGGUGUUAAGUCAACAGUAACAAAAUUUUGGAACACCCUAAAGGCCUAGGUAUUGUACUAAUAUAAAGCCACCUAUGUGCAAAAUUUUGUUUUAAAUACGAUUGAAUGCAUCUGGAAAAGCUCACAAAAUUGCAGACUUGAGUGAUCCAUUAGGCACUGAAACUCGUUUAUUGCAAUGGCAGCAGGCUGUUACAGCUGACACAGCCAUCUUUAGAAGAGCCUUUUUUUUUUGUGAUGCAUGCAACGUCAUACUCAUCUACUACAGUAUUGCAUGUUGUGGCUGCCACAAUACAUGCACUGAUGCCACUGCUGUUAUGAGGGUCUAUGAGGGGUGCAACACUUUGGCAGAAAUUAUCGAGUGCGAAUGUUGCGCAGUGGUUGGCGUGUCCCGCUCUGAAGUGCACGUUUAUGUGGAAUCCCGAGUUUGCAUUCUAGUGACGUAUGUAGGCAGAAGAAAUGCCUAAUGUGUUGAAGUAGUGAAACCAUUGACUAUCAUGUGCUGUAUAAUUAACAGGUAUAUUGUGAUGGUUUAUUGUCUAAUUACAUAGAUGUGAUCACUUGUCUUACUUUGCGGAUCAUAAUGCUGUGCCGUGAUUUCUGCAUCCCAAUCAAUACAGUGGCGGCGAUGGGCAAAGUUUUCUUUUACUCCAGUAGCAGUGGACUUUUCCAGAAACAUGCACUGCUGCGCAUUCCCUUGCUGGUGUUUUGCGAGAAGAUGCUGCCAUCUAUGUGACCGUAAAGUCUCCUGCAAACUUUUAUAUUUUCCCAAAGUUUUUGUUUUUAUUGGUUGUCAGUUGCCGGCUCAAAGUGUGCAUACUACUGAACCUUAAGCAAAGGCUUUUGCUGCCUUCAGCAUGCCUUGGGAAAACGAAAGUUGGUGCUUGAACAUGCUGCGCACCUGGCUAUGACAAUACUCUGAAAGACAGCAAUGUUUCAUUCACUACUGUGAACAGGUGUUCACUUGGUGAGUUGUCGUUUAGGUCUUAUUGUUUGACACACGAUCACUCAACCUUGUGUGCACAUGUUAUUGCAUUCCUAUGCUUUUGAAACAUGAAAAUCAGUGGAUGGAUUUUAUCACGAGCUUGUAGGUAAAAAUGCAUGAAGGAGGCCGUCUAUGUAAUAAACACUCUCCUUCUCUCAA